rnacentral:rRNA from 1 species
UACGAAGGGGGCUAGCGUUGCUCGGAAUCACUGGGCGUAAAGGGUGCGUAGGCGGGUCUUUAAGUCAGGGGUGAAAUCCUGGAGCUCAACUCCAGAACUGCCUUUGAUACUGAGGAUCUUGAGUUCGGGAGAGGUGAGUGGAACUGCGAGUGUAGAGGUGAAAUUCGUAGAUAUUCGCAAGAACACCAGUGGCGAAGGCGGCUCACUGGCCCGAGUACUGACGCUGAGGCGCGACGCGUGGG